AGGAUCCAUGAGGCAAGUCUGGUGCAGCAGCCGCGGGUAAUUCCAGCUCAAUAGCGUAUAUUUAAGUUGUUGCAGUUAAAAAAGCUCGUAUUGGACUUUGGGGUUGGGUCGGCGGGUCCCGCCAUCAGGUGUGCACCGUUUACUCGUCCUUCUGUGGCGAUGCGCUUCCUACCCUUACUGGCGGGUUCGGCCUCCGGCGUUGUUACUUGAAGAAAUUAGAGUGUCUCAAAGC
rnacentral:lncRNA from 1 species